UACGUAGGGACCGAGCGUUGUCCGGAUUCAUUGGGCGUAAAGAGCUCGUAGGCGGUCUGUCGCGUCUGCUGUGAAAACUCAGGGCUUAACCCUGAGCUUGCAGUGGGUACGGGCAGACUAGAGUCCGGUAGGGGAGCAUGGAAUUCCUGGUGUAGCGGUGAAAUGCGCAGAUAUCAGGAGGAACACCAGUGGCGAAGGCGGUGCUCUGGGCCGGAACUGACGCCGAGGAGCGAAAGCGUGGGGAGCAAACAGG
rnacentral:rRNA from 1 species